rnacentral:rRNA from 1 species
UGGUAUGCACUGGCUUUACUGAUUCCUCCUUCUUGACGAACCGUGAUGUCAUUAAUUUGGUGUUGCGGGAAACAGGACUGUUACUUUGAAAAAAUUAGAGUGUUUAAAGCAGGCUAACGCUUGAAUACAUUAGCAUGGAAUAAUGAAAUAGGACGUUUGAUCCUAUUUUGUUGGUUUCUAGGAUUGACGUAAUGAUUAAUAGGGAUAGUUGGGGGCAUUAGUAUUCAAUUGUCAGAGGUGAAAUUCUUGGAUUUAUUGAAGACUGACUACUGCGAAAGCAUUUGCCAAGGAUGUUUUCAUUAAUCAAGAACGAAAGUUAGGGGAUCGAAAACAAUCAAAUACCGUCGUAGUCUUAACCAUAAACUAUGCCGACUAGGGAUC